UACGAAGGGGGCUAGCGUUGCUCGGAAUCACUGGGCGUAAAGCGCACGUAGGCGGCUUUUUAAGUCAGGGGUGAAAUCCUGGAGCUCAACUCCAGAACUGCCUUUGAUACUGAGAGCUUGAGUCCGGGAGAGGUGAGUGGAACUGCGAGUGUAGAGGUGAAAUUCGUAGAUAUUCGCAAGAACACCAGUGGCGAAGGCGGCUCACUGGCCCGGUACUGACGCUGAGGUGCGAAAGCGUGGGGAGCAAAC
rnacentral:rRNA from 1 species